CCAUUUAAAGUGGUACGCGAGCUGGGUUUAGAACGUCGUGAGACAGUUCGGUCCCUAUCUGCCGUGGGCGCUGGAGAAUUGAGGGGGGCUGCUCCUAGUACGAGAGGACCGGAGUGGACGCAUCACUGGUGUUCGGGUUGUCAUGCCAAUGGCACUGCCCGGUAGCUAAAUGCGGAAGAGAUAAGUGCUGAAAGCAUCUAAGCACGAAACUUGCCCCGAGAUGAGUUCUCCCUGAGACUUUAAGUCUCCUGAAGGAACGUUGAAGACGACGACGUUGAUAGGCCGGGUGUGUAAGCGCAGCGAUGCGUUGAGCUAACCGGUACUAAUGAACCGUGAGGCUUAACCUUACAACGCCGAAG
rnacentral:rRNA from 1 species